rnacentral:rRNA from 1 species
UACGGAGGGAGCAAGCGUUACUCGGAAUUAUUGGGCGUAAAGGGCGCGUAGGCGAUUUGAAAAGUCUUGUGUGAAAGCCCCGAGCUUAACUCGGGAAGUGCACAAGAAACUGUUGAAUUUGAGUUCCGGAGAGGAAGGCAGAAUUCCCGGUGUAGCGGUGAAAUGCGUAGAUAUCGGGAGGAAUACCAGUGGCGAAGGCGGCCUUCUGGACGGAUACUGACGCUGAGGCGCGAAA